ensembl:rRNA 5S_rRNA 5S ribosomal RNA
CACCUGAUCUCAUCUGAUCUCAGAAG